UGCUGGGAGCGGCAGACGGGUGAGUAUCACGUUGGUAACUGCCUCGUAGUCGGGAAUAAGCCCUAGAAAUAGGGUCUAAUGCCGGAUAGUCCCGCAAGGGUAAAGCUUCGGCGCUAUGAGAGGUGCCUGCGGCCUAUCAGCUUGUUGGUGGGGUAAAAGCCUACCAAGGCUAUGACGGGUAGCUGGUUUGAGAGGAUGAUCAGCCACAAUGGAACUGAGACACGGUCCAUACUCCUACGGGAGGCAGCAGUAAGGAAUUUUGCGCAAUGGGGGAAACCCUGACGCAGCAACACCGCGUGAAGGAUGAAGGCCUUUUGGUUGUAAACUUCUUUUCUGAGAGAAUAAAUAUGAAUGUACCUCAGGAAUAAGCACCGGCUAACUCCGUGCCAGCAGCCGCGGUAAGACGGAGGGUGCAAGCGUUAUCCGGAUUUAUUGGGCGUAAAGAGUCCGUAGGCGUAGUGUUAAGGUAGAAUAUCAAAGACCAGAGCUCAACUCUGGGCCGGUAUUCUAAACUGGCAAAAUUGAGUGAUGCAGAG
rnacentral:rRNA from 1 species